UACGUAGGGUGCAAGCGUUGUCCGGAAUUAUUGGGCGUAAAGAGCGUGUAGGCGGCCCGAUUAGUCUGCUGUGAAAGUCCAGGGCUCAACCCUGGAAUGCCGGUGGAUACUGUCGGGCUAGAGUCCGGAAGGGGCGAGUGGAAUUCCUGGUGUAGCGGUGAAAUGCGCAGAUAUCAGGAAGAACACCCGUGGCGAAAGCGGCUCUCUGGGACGGUACUGACGCUGAGACGCGAAAGCGUGGGGAGCGAACAGG
rnacentral:rRNA from 1 species